rnacentral:rRNA from 1 species
GACGAACGCUGGCGGCGUGCUUAACACAUGCAAGUCGAACGGAAAGGCCCUGCUUUUGUGGGGUGCUCGAGUGGCGAACGGGUGAGUAACACGUGAGUAACCUGCCCUUGACUUUGGGAUAACUUCAGGAAACUGGGGCUAAUACCGGAUAGGAGCUCCUGCUGCAUGGUGGGGGUUGGAAAGUUUCGGCGGUUGGGGAUGGACUCGCGGCUUAUCAGCUUGUUGGUGGGGUAGUGGCUUACCAAGGCUUUGACGGGUAGCCGGCCUGAGAGGGUGACCGGCAAAAUUGGGACUGAGAUACGGACCAGAGUCCAACGGGAGGCAGCAGUGGGGAAUAUUGCACAAUGGGCGGAAGCCUGAUGCAGCAACGCAGCGUGCGGGAUGACGGCCUUCGGGUUGUAAACCGCUUUCGCCUGUGACGAAGCGUGAGUGACGGUAAUGGGUAAAGAAGCACCGGCUAACUACGUG